UACGUAGGGUGCGAGCGUUAAUCGGAAUUACUGGGCGUAAAGCGUGCGCAGGCGGUUUUGUAAGUCAGAUGUGAAAUCCCCGGGCUUAACCUGGGAAUGGCAUUUGGGACUGCAAGGCUUGAGUGCGGCAGGGGAGACUGGAAUUCCUGGUGUAGCAGUGAAAUGCGUAGAUAUCAGGAGGAAUACCGAUGGCGAAGGCAGGUCUCUGGGCUGACACUGACGCUCAUGCACGAAAGCGUGGGGAGCAAACAGG
rnacentral:rRNA from 1 species